rnacentral:misc_RNA from 1 species
CAACCGUCAAGCGCGGCUUGUUGUUGGGCGCCUGUCCCGCCUCCGGCGCGGACUCGCCUCGAAUCGAUUGGCGGCCCCUCCCGGCGGCUCGGAGCGCAGCAGAAUUGCGACUCUACCCGCGGGGACGGCGGCACCCAGAAGCCUUUCCUUCAA